GGGUUGUGAGGUUAAGCGACUAAGCGUACACGGUGGAUGCCCUGGCAGUCAGAGGCGAUGAAGGACGUGCUAAUCUGCGAAAAGCGUCGGUAAGGUGAUAUGAACCGUUAUAACCGGCGAUGUCCGAAUGGGGAAACCCAGUGCAAUUCGUUGCACUAUCGUUAACUGAAUACAUAGGUUAACGAGGCGAACCGGGGGAACUGAAACAUCUAAGUACCCCGAGGAAAAGAAAUCAACCGAGAUUCCCCCAGUAGCGGCGAGCGAACGGGGAGCAGCCCAGAGUCUGAAUCAGCUUGUGUGUUAGUGGAACGGUCUGGAAAGUCCGACGGUACAGGGUGAUAGUCCCGUACACCAAAAUGCACAGGCUGUGAACUCGAAGAGUAGGGCGGGACACGUGGUAUCCUGUCUGAAUAUGGGGGGACCAUCCUCCAAGGCUAAAUACUCCUGACUGACCGAUAGUGAACCAGUACCGUGAGGGAAAGGCGAAAAGAACCCCGGCGAGGGGAGUGAAAAAGAACCUGAAACCGUGUACGUACAAGCAGUGGGAGCACCUUCGGGUGUGACUGCGUACCUUUUGUAUAAUGGGUCAGCGACUUAUAUUCUGUAGCAAGGUUAACCGUAUAGGGGAGCCGCAGGGAAACCGAGUCUUAACUGGGCGUUAAGUUGCAGGGUAUAGACCCGAAACCCGGUGAUCUAGCCAUGGGCAGGUUGAAGGUUGGGUAACACUAACUGGAGGACCGAACCGACUAAUGUUGAAAAAUUAGCGGAUGACUUGUGGCUGGGGGUGAAAGGCCAAUCAAACCGGGAGAUAGCUGGUUCUCCCCGAAAGCUAUUUAGGUAGCGCCUCGUGAACUCAUCUUCGGGGGUAGAGCACUGUUUCGGCUAGGGGGUCAUCCCGACUUACCAACCCGAUGCAAACUACGAAUACCGAAGAAUGUUAUCACGGGAGACACACGGCGGGUGCUAACGUCCGUCGUGAAGAGGGAAACAACCCAGACCGCCAGCUAAGGUCCCAAAGUCAUGGUUAAGUGGGAAACGAUGUGGGAAGGCACAGACAGCCAGGAUGUUGGCUUAGAAGCAGCCAUCAUUUAAAGAAAGCGUAAUAGCUCACUGGUCGAGUCGGCCUGCGCGGAAGAUGUAACGGGGCUAAACCAUGCACCGAAGCUGCGGCAGCGACACUAUGUGUUGUUGGGUAGGGGAGCGUUCUGUAAGCCUGCGAAGGUGACCUGUGAGGGUUGCUGGAGGUAUCAGAAGUGCGAAUGCUGACAUAAGUAACGAUAAAGCGGGUGAAAAGCCCGCUCGCCGGAAGACCAAGGGUUCCUGUCCAACGUUAAUCGGGGCAGGGUGAGUCGACCCCUAAGGCGAGGCCGAAAGGCGUAGUCGAUGGGAAACAGGUUAAUAUUCCUGUACUUGGUGUUACUGCGAAGGGGGGACGGAGAAGGCUAUGUUAGCCGGGCGACGGUUGUCCCGGUUUAAGCAUGUAGGCUGAUUGUCCAGGCAAAUCCGGAUAAUCAAGGCUGAGGUGUGAUGACGAGGCACUACGGUGCUGAAGUAACAAAUGCCCUGCUUCCAGGAAAAGCCUCUAAGCAUCAGGUAACAUUAAAUCGUACCCCAAACCGACACAGGUGGUCAGGUAGAGAAUACCAAGGCGCUUGAGAGAACUCGGGUGAAGGAACUAGGCAAAAUGGUGCCGUAACUUCGGGAGAAGGCACGCUGGUGUGUAGGUGAAGCCCCUGCGGGUGGAGCUGAGACCAGUCGAAGAUACCAGCUGGCUGCAACUGUUUAUUAAAAACACAGCACUGUGCAAACACGAAAGUGGACGUAUACGGUGUGACGCCUGCCCGGUGCCGGAAGGUUAAUUGAUGGGGUUAUCCGUAAGGAGAAGCUCUUGAUCGAAGCCCCGGUAAACGGCGGCCGUAACUAUAACGGUCCUAAGGUAGCGAAAUUCCUUGUCGGGUAAGUUCCGACCUGCACGAAUGGCGUAAUGAUGGCCAGGCUGUCUCCACCCGAGACUCAGUGAAAUUGAACUCGCUGUGAAGAUGCAGUGUACCCGCGGCAAGACGGAAAGACCCCGUGAACCUUUACUAUAGCUUGACACUGAACAUUGAGCCUUGAUGUGUAGGAUAGGUGGGAGGCUUUGAAGCGUGGACGCCAGUCUGCGUGGAGCCAACCUUGAAAUACCACCCUUUAAUGUUUGAUGUUCUAACGUUGGCCCCUUACCGGGGUUGCGGACAGUGUCUGGUGGGUAGUUUGACUGGGGCGGUCUCCUCCCAAAGCGUAACGGAGGAGCACGAAGGUUAGCUAAUCCUGGUCGGACAUCAGGAGGUUAGUGCAAUGGCAUAAGCUAGCUUGACUGCGAGCGUGACGGCGCGAGCAGGUGCGAAAGCAGGUCAUAGUGAUCCGGUGGUUCUGAAUGGAAGGGCCAUCGCUCAACGGAUAAAAGGUACUCCGGGGAUAACAGGCUGAUACCGCCCAAGAGUUCAUAUCGACGGCGGUGUUUGGCACCUCGAUGUCGGCUCAUCACAUCCUGGGGCUGAAGUAGGUCCCAAGGGUAUGGCUGUUCGCCAUUUAAAGUGGUACGCGAGCUGGGUUUAGAACGUCGUGAGACAGUUCGGUCCCUAUCUGCCGUGGGCGCUGGAGAAUUGAGGGGGGCUGCUCCUAGUACGAGAGGACCGGAGUGGACGCAUCACUGGUGUUCGGGUUGUCAUGCCAAUGGCACUGCCCGGUAGCUAAAUGCGGAAGAGAUAAGUGCUGAAAGCAUCUAAGCACGAAACUUGCCCCGAGAUGAGUUCUCCCUGAGACUUUAAGUCUCCUGAAGGAACGUUGAAGACGACGACGUUGAUAGGCCGGGUGUGUAAGCGCAGCGAUGCGUUGAGCUAACCGGUACUAAUGAACCGUGAGGCUUAACCUUACAACGCCGAAG
rnacentral:rRNA from 1 species